rnacentral:piRNA from 1 species
UGGCUUCAAAGUGCCACGUUUGGCUAGUGA